UCAAAAAGAAACAUUGCUAUGCUUGGACAAGAACUUUCGUAAAAGGAGAAAUACCAAUUCUAAGAUAAUGCCGUUUAAGCUUGGUUCUAUUUUCACUAUUCUUCUCUUGACAGCUAGUAUUAACUUGUCGUGGUUUCCAAAAACGCAAGCUAUGUCAACACGGGAUAUUAAUCACGAUGCUUUAGAAUUCCAAAGAAGACUACUCCCACAAGUUAAUGAUCUUAUAACUUGCGGAAGAGGUUGUACGACAAAGAGUGAUUGCAGUGAUUGUUGGCUGUGUUGUGACUGCGACUUGGCAUUAGAAGUUGGUAGUUAUGUAUGUGUGCAUUGAACUCCGCUACAUAUUUCUAAUAUGCAUUUAAGUUUCCAUGUAAUUUCAAUGUUCUCUUUGGUGUUUUUACUUUCUUUUGUAAAGUCAUGUGGAUAGAUUUCCACUAAGAAUAAUUAUGGAUUCAACUCUAAGGCUGGCCGGCUAGCUUUUUAAUACAUAUAUGAUUCAAUAAUCAUUUGCUAAGAUUUGCUUUAUCGCA